GAGUAGAAGGAAUCAGAGGAGCAGCCAGACAUCCUCUUCUCCAGGCUGCUUGGCACAGAGCUGGGCACAUAAACAACCCUGAGGACCAGCUGCCCAAUGGGCCAGAAGAGAGGGAUAGGCUCUGCCUGCAUGCCACGCCACUGGAAAGAUGAGGAAACUGAGAUACAGAAAGGUGAAGUUCUUGCUUGAUGUCACACCGCUGUUAACACAAAUCUCAUCACAGAAUGAUUGAAUGCGACGCAGUGCCGUUUGAACACCAAGCAGCAGAAAAGUACCACUGCAGUGGGAUGCCUGAAGCUCUGAGUGGAACGGUCACCGGGUUGAAACUGCCGGGGGAAAUUUGCGGGAGGCCUGGGUAGUCCCAUGCAGAGGAAAAACUCAGUGGGUCUCUUCCUAAAACCUGAGAACAGCAUUCUGGAAAAUAACCCUAGUUUUGGGUGGUAGCCCUCUCUGGAAAUAUUCAAGAUUAUUUGUAAUUGUCUCUGUAACUGAAAGUUCAAAAACAAAACCCUAUAAAUCGGAGAUCUCCCCCACUGUU